UUGUGUAAUUUCUUGAAACUGUCUUUACAAAAUUGUAUCAGAGAGAAAAUUAUGUCAAUGGGGGAGAUCUGAUCUAGUCAACCCCCCUCUUGCCUUUAGCCUUUGGGCUGCCUUUGAUUAUUCCUGGGCUGGCUUUGGGAGACAUCUAGUUUAAAGUUUAAGUGAAAAUAACCCUUCCCCCAAAACUCAACCACCUUUAUAAAGCUGAGAGGUCACCAG
rnacentral:lncRNA from 1 species